AGUGAACGCUGGCGGUAGGCCUAACACAUGCAAGUCGAACGGCAGCACAGUAAGAGCUUGCUCUUACGGGUGGCGAGUGGCGGACGGGUGAGGAAUACAUCGGAAUCUACUUUUUCGUGGGGGAUAACGUAGGGAAACUUACGCUAAUACCGCAUACGACCUACGGGUGAAAGCAGGGGAUCUUCGGACCUUGCGCGAUUGAAUGAGCCGAUGUCGGAUUAGCUAGUUGGCGGGGUAAAGGCCCACCAAGGCGACGAUCCGUAGCUGGUCUAAGAGGAUGAUCAGCCACACUGGAACUGAGACACUGUCCAGACUCCUACGGGAGGCAGCAGUGGGGAAUAUUGGACAAUGGGCGCAAGCCUGAUCCAGCCAUACCGCGUGGGUGAAGAAGGCCUUCGGGUUGUAAAGCCCUUUUGUUGGGAAAGAAAAGCAGCAGGUUAAUACCCCGCUGUUCUGACGGUACCCAAAGAAUAAGCACCGGCUAACUUCGUG
rnacentral:rRNA from 1 species